rnacentral:lncRNA from 1 species
AAAAAAUCACAUUGAGACAUGGUCCCUUUCCAAUUUUCACGACCAACCCCCUUGGCUCAUGAACUAUGUGCCUAACAGUGCUUCUGAAUCUAGGAGUUUCAUUGUAAGCCAUCAGUGGACUGAUUACAGUGGGUGUGGCUAACACAGCUGUAGCCACCUAGGUAAUUAAGUCUUAAUUUAAGAAAAGACAGUUGUUGGUGCGGCAGCCUCAUUGGACGAAGACUCGGAGGACAAGACAAAGGAGUCUUUCGCAGGAGGAUAAGUAUCUCGGUUUUCUUGCUCUUCCUUAUUCCUUCUUCAAAUGUGUAUAUUUUCCAUUCCCGUUCAUGUCUCUUCUUGUAGAUAUUACAGGCCUCGCACAUGUUCGCAACACCAUCGUAACUGCUCUGCUUUUGUAUAUCCCACCCGCUCCUCUCAUACCCAACAUCUCGCCACAGAUGGCCUGUGGAACUGCCUGUCGGCCACUCGCAAGACAGAGUUCAUCUCUGGCCACGCCUCCCAUCAAUCCCUCGACUUCCUUGCCCUCACUGAGACUUGGAUCACACCUGAUAACACUUCCACCCCUGCUGCUCUCUCCACAGCCUACUCCUUCUCCCACUCGCCCAGAACCACUGGACGAGGAGGUGGCACUGGUCUGCUGAUCUCUCCCAAAUGGAGUUUUUCUCUUUACCCACUGCCAGACUUCACUCACUCAUCUUUCGAAUUUCAUGCUGUCACUGUAACAAAGCCGAUUACAUUAAACAUUGUUGUUCUCUACCCUCCUCCAGGUCCUUUGGGGGAGUUUUUGGAGGAAUUAGACAUUCUUCUGUCCAACAUCCCUGAAAAUGGCCCUCCUCCCGUAAUUCUCGGUGACUUCAACAUCCAGUCAGAGAAGUCAACAGACUUAUUAUCUCUCCUAUCUUCUUUUGCUCUCUCCCUGUCUCCGUCCCCUCCUACUCAAAAAGCUGUCAACCACCUCAACCUCAUAUUCACCAGAAACUGCUCGACCUCAAACCUCUCUGUCACAUCUCUGAUCACUUUUUCAUGUCCUACUCUCUCCCCCUCUCCCAAACUAACAAACCUUUCUCCCUCCUCUCUUGCUUUCAGCUGUCCUCUCGGCCCUUCCUUCUCCUGACUCCUUCUUACCCAUGCUUGCCAA